CGUGUCCUACGGGGCGCAGCAGUGGGGAAUAUUGGGCAAUGGGCGCAAGCCUGACCCAGCAACGCCGCGUGAAGGAAGAAGGCUUUCGGGUUGUAAACUUCUUUUGUCAGGGACGAAGCAAGUGACGGUACCUGACGAAUAAGCCACGGCUAACUACGUACCAGCAGCCGCGGUAAUACGUAGGUGGCAAGCGUUAUCCGGAUUUAUUGGGUGUAAAGGGCGUGUAGGCGGGAAUGUAAGUCAGA
rnacentral:rRNA from 1 species